rnacentral:rRNA from 1 species
GAUGAACGCUGGCGGCGUGCCUAAUACAUGCAAGUCGAACGAAAAUUCUUUAACCUUGCGCGUCUGCACUCACCGGCGAACGGGUGAGUGGCGAACGGGUAAGCAACCUGUGGGCAAGGGGUAAAUAAGGGGAAGAUAACCUAAUACCGCAGAUGCUAAUACCCCAUAACCAUAGUUACUGAAAGGCGACUUUGCUAAAGGUGACUAUACUACCGCUUUUGGAUGGGCCCGCGGCGCAUUAGCUAGUUGGUAGGGUAAAGGCUUACCAAGGCAAUGAUGCGUAGCCGAAUUGAGAGGUUGAUCGGCCACAUUGGAACUGAGACACGGCCCAAACUCCUACGGGAGGCAGCAGUAGGGAAUCUUCCACAAUGGGCGAAAGCCUGAUGGAGCAACGCCGCGUGGGUGAUGAAGGUCUUCGGAUCGUAAAACCCUGUUGUUAGAGAAGAAAGUGCGUGAGAGUAACUGUUCACGUUUCGACGGUAUCUAACCAGAAAGCCACGGCUAACUACGUG